CGGGAUGUGGCUCAGUUUGGCUAGAGCGCAGCGUUCGGGACGCUGAGGCCGAAGGUUCGAAUCCUUUCAUCCCGACCA
rnacentral:tRNA from 3 species